GGCGGCGUGCUUAACACAUGCAAGUCGAACGAAGCAUUUGUGAAGGAGGCUUCGGCCAAUGGAUCAAAUGACUUAGUGGCGGACGGGUGAGUAACGCGUGAGCAACCUGCCUUUCAGACGGGGGAUAACGUUUGGAAACGAACGCUAAUACCGCAUGACAUAGCGUUUAUCGCAUGGUAGGGCUAUCAAAGGAGCAAUCCGCUGAAAGAUGGGCUCGCGUCCGAUUAGAUAGUUGGUGGGGUAACGGCCUACCAAGUCGACGAUCGGUAGCCGGACUGAGAGGUUGAACGGCCACAUUGGGACUGAGACACGGCCCAGACUCCUACGGGAGGCAGCAGUGGGGAAUAUUGCACAAUGGGCGCAAGCCUGAUUGCAGCAACGCCGCGUGAGGGAAGACGGUUUUCGGAUUGUAAACCUCUGUCCUUGGUGACGAAGAAUGACGGUAGCCAAGGAGGAAGCCACGGCUAACUACGUGCCAGCCGCAGC
rnacentral:rRNA from 1 species